rnacentral:tRNA from 1 species
GCCGGGGUGGCGGAACUGGUAGACGCAGCCGGCUUAAAACCGGCUGUCCCUUCGGGACGUGGGGGUUCGAUCCCCUCCCCCGGCA